rnacentral:rRNA from 1 species
AACGAACGCUGGCGGCAUGCCUAACACAUGCAAGUCGAACGAGACCACCGGAACUAGUGGCGCACAGGUGCGUAGCGCGUGGGAACCUGCACUUAGAUUCGGAAUAACACCCCUUCGGGGGUGCUAAUAUAGGGUAAUGUACUCGAACAACAGAUUCGUCGCCCUUGGAUGAGCCGGCGUUGUUUUAACCUGUUGGUAUUGUAAAAGCCUACCAAGGCGACGCUCCAUAGCUGGUCUGAGAGGAUGAGCAGCCACACUUGGGCGGGGACGCGGUGCAGACUCCUGCGGGAGGGGGGAGUGGGGAAUAUAGGAAAAUGGGCGAGAGGCUGAUCCAGCAAUGCCGCGUGAGUGAUGAAGUCCUUAGGGUUGUAAAGCUCUUUUACCCGGGAUGAUAAUGACAGUACCGGGAGAAUAAGCUCCGGCUAACUCCGUG